AGCCCUGCAGCGCCUCGUCCCGCUGCCGGCGUCUCCGAGGCCCACGACGUGCGGUGACUGGGGCGGGCGACGUGGGGGACCCGGGGAUGCGGGCGGACGAUAGGGGACUGGAGGAUGGGGCGACCCAGAGCACGGGCCUCCCGGGAGCUGGAUGCUCGGAGCAGAAAGGCGGCCCUAGGGGCCCCUUCCGGUCCCGGGGCUGACGCCUGGCGGCGUCGCCGAGAACCCGCGCCCUUUCAACCGCCGCUGGCUCCUGUUUCACAGAUGGAGACCCUGAAGCCCCAACAAGCAGCUUCCCCAGCACCGCCCAGUGACUGAAAAAGCUGGCACUGGGCGCCCGUCUCACUCCCCACCCAGCUCCCAGGCUGCCCCACUGGACCAGCAUCUUUGGGGAGAGACAAGACCUGAACAGACGCUGGGGCCGGAUUCCCAGGGUGGGUCAGAACAGCCGCUGCCCUGAAAGCCGGCUCGGACAGAUGCGUGCAGGGCGUGCCACCGGAGCUCCUUGCAGCUUGCGUCUGGGGCCACCAUGUCCCUUCCUCAGGGCGCUGGAUCCAUCUCUUCAAGCUCAGCGGUCCAGGCCAUGGUGGCAGAAUCACCCCCCAGGGUGUGACGCCACGUCCUUAUCAAUUCCACACAGCUGCACCUGGAAGAGCUGUGGCUGGGCGCCGCUCUGACCUGUGUGCGGUCCCCUGAAUGGGUCUCAGGUGUCUUCAGAAUGGCAAGGCCGCCUCAUUUCCUCGCCACACAACCCUCCUGAGGACGCUGCCUGCAAAUGGGCUGAAUUCCUAAUUUCUACCAUUCAAUUAAACGAGGGAUCCUUAAACCCCAAAGCUGGGAAAGCUGUCCGUUAAUUUAGUGCGAAGCCUGUGGCAGCUGUCCACUCGUGGGCCAUCUCCGAACAGCAGGAUUCCCAGGAGUCCAGCAGGACAGGGGAGGGGAUGAGUGGCCGCGUCCCCCUGGCAGAGAAGGCCUUGUCUGAAGGCUACGCCCGCCUCCGGUACAGGGACACCUCCUUGCUCAUCUGGCAGCAGCAACAGCAGAAGUUGGAGUCGGUGCCCCCCGGGACAUACCUGAGCAGGAGCCGAAGCAUGUGGUACUCACAGUAUGGAAAUGAGGCCAUCUUGGUCCGAGACAAAAACAAGCUCGAGGUCUCCAGGGACACAGGGCAGUCCAAGUUUUGCACAAUCAUGUAAUUCCCAUGUGAGCACCUGAGCCCAGGACCACUCUUCGAGGAAAACAGACAUGGGUUUCAUUCAGUUGUCUGGAUUUCUAAUCCUUGCUGGAAGAUUUUGAAUAAGGAAUGUGAAGAUCAAACCGUGGCGUAAGAACCCAAGCAGCACAGAAUCUGCCCCUGAGUCCCUCAGCACAGCUUCGGUGUGACUGGUGCACAGGACACUUCCCCUCUAGAGUCCCCUCAGUUACUAGUCAGCUGUUUCGACAUUCAAAUUCUCCAGGUGCUGCUAGGGACAGCAUAGGCCUGGGCACUGCUAGAUGCUUGGUUUAACCAAGCCAAGAGUAACCCUCCCAUCCCCGUUAUAAAGCAUCUUUUCAAGUUUGUAUAGGUUUUAGUUUUUUGUUUUUAACAUAAAUGGCGGAGUAGCAGCAGCAUCUCACUGGGAGCUUUGUCGCACUUACAUUUUGUUGUUUGCUUUUUGAGACAGGGUCUCACUCUGUUGCCCAGGCCAGGUCGACAAGUGGUACGAUCACAGCUCACUGUAGGUUCGAUCUCAUGGGCUCAGGUGAUCUUCCCAAACUGAGCUUCUCAGGUAGCUGUGGCUCCAGGUGAACUACUGUGUAUAGAGACAGGGUUUCCCUAUGUUGCCCAGGCUGGUCUUACACUCCUGGGCUCAAGCCUCCCAUGGUGCUGGGACUACAGGCGUGGGCCACUGCACCAAGCCCGCAUUUAUAUUUUGAGUUACCAAAAUGAUCGUCCUGUGUGAAGCAUCAUAGUAGCUUCCAAGCAUUUGCGGCCCACCGGCCAGUGCCUCCAAAACACAUUCAGGAAACCUGAGAGUUGUAAGUUGCACUUGUGUGGCGUACAGUGAUUUCCAUGUAGUAACAGGGCUGAGCAAGGCAGGCUCUCCAUCAGACUUGAAGCAUUCAGCCUCUGCCCCCAGGCCGCCACUGACAUGUGUUCACUGUCGCUGCCACAGCUGGCCACCUGUGUGUUCAGUCUCCAUGAAGGAUUCACCCUCUGCUCUGACAUCUCCUUGGCUACACAAAUGUGCAGGUGUCUCUUGUCAAAGCUAAUUUUUAUUUUCUAAAUAAACAUCCUUUAAUACACUG